GAUGAACGCUGGCGGCGUGCCUAAUACAUGCAAGUCGAGCGAAUGGAUUAAGAGCUUGCUCUUAUGAAGUUAGCGGCGGACGGGUGAGUAACACGUGGGUAACCUGCCCAUAAGACUGGGAUAACUCCGGGAAACCGGGGCUAAUACCGGAUAACAUUUUGAACCGCAUGGUUCGAAAUUGAAAGGCGGCUUCGGCUGUCACUUAUGGAUGGACCCGCGUCGCAUUAGCUAGUUGGUGAGGUAACGGCCCACCAAGGCAACGAUGCGUAGCCGACCUGGUAGGGUGCUCGGCCAGACUGGGACUGAGACACGGCCCAGACUCCUACGGGAGGCAGCAGUAGGGAAUCUUCCGCAAUGGACGAAAGUCUGACGGGGCAACGCCGCGUGAGUGAUGAAGGCUUUCGGGUCGUAAAACUCUGUUGUUAGGGAAGAACAAGUGCUAGUUGAAUAAGCUGGCACCUUGACGGUACCUAACCAGAAAGCCACGGCUAACUACGUGCCAGCCGCCGCCGUAA
rnacentral:rRNA from 1 species